rnacentral:misc_RNA from 1 species
UUUUUUUUCUAUUAGUUGCGAUGCGAACAGGCGUUUACUUAUGAGAUUAGUUGAGUAGGCUUGCGUUAGUUGUCUGCUAUAAGAUAGCUAGUUUUGGGGCUUUCGACAUAAAAAAGCCUAUCCGGCUUGGCUUCGCUAUCGCUCAUGACUUGUAUUGUAGUCGGCCCGGAAUGCCUCUGUAGUCUUUCCUCCCGCUGGUCGCCUUCUUCCUUCAUUCAUUUUCUUUUAGUUUCGGUAGCUUCCGCGCCAGCAAGAUACGGACGGCGAAGCCAAAGCAAUACUAAACAAGCGAGAAAAGUAAAGCCUAAACGUCCUUAUUGAAAAGAAAACUAAAGCGCUAACGAGCAAGAAAAAGGCCCCUUACUAUAGAUAGGCUAAUGCGCCUUUACUAAUAUUCUAAUAGAAGGC